rnacentral:rRNA from 2 species
GAAUGCUGACAUAAGUAACGAUAAAGCGGGUGAAAAGCCCGCUCGCCGGAAGACCAAGGGUUCCUGUCCAACGUUAAUCGGGGCAGGGUGAGUCGACCCCUAAGGCGAGGCCGAAAGGCGUAGUCGAUGGGAAACGGGUUAAUAUUCCCGUACUUGGUGUUACUGCGAAGGGGGGACGGAGAAGGCUAUGUUGGCCGGGCGACGGUUGUCCCGGUUUAAGCGUGUAGGUGUGUGUUCCAGGUAAAUCCGGUUCACUUUAACACUGAGGCGUGAUGACGAGGCACUACGGUGCUGAAGCAACAAAUGCCCUGCUUCCAGGAAAAGCCUCUAAGCAUCAGGUAACAUCAAAUCGUACCCCAAACCGACACAGGUGGUCAGGUAGAGAAUACCAAGGCGCUUGAGAGAACUCGGGUGAAGGAACUAGGCAAAAUGGUGCCGUAACUUCGGGAGAAGGCACGCUGACACGUAGGUGAAGUGAUUUACUCACGGAGCUGAAGUCAGUCGAAGAUACCAGCUGGCUGCAACUGUUUAUUAAAAACACAGCACUGUGCAAACACGAAAGUGGACGUAUACGGUGUGACGCCUGCCCGGUGCCGGAAGGUUAAUUGAUGGGGUCAGCGCAAGCGAAGCUCCUGAUCGAAGCCCCGGUAAACGGCGGCCGUAACUAUAACGGUCCUAAGGUAGCGAAAUUCCUUGUCGGGUAAGUUCCGACCUGCACGAAUGGCGUAAUGAUGGCCAGGCUGUCUCCACCCGAGACUCAGUGAAAUUGAACUCGCUGUGAAGAUGCAGUGUACCCGCGGCAAGACGGAAAGACCCCGUGAACCUUUACUAUAGCUUGACACUGAACAUUGAGCCUUGAUGUGUAGGAUAGGUGGGAGGCUUUGAAGUGUGGACGCCAGUCUGCAUGGAGCCGACCUUGAAAUACCACCCUUUAAUGUUUGAUGUUCUAACGUGGACCCGUAAUCCGGGUUGCGGACAGUGUCUGGUGGGUAGUUUGACUGGGGCGGUCUCCUCCUAAAGAGUAACGGAGGAGCACGAAGGUUGGCUAAUCCUGGUCGGACAUCAGGAGGUUAGUGCAAUGGCAUAAGCCAGCUUGACUGCGAGCGUGACGGCGCGAGCAGGUGCGAAAGCAGGUCAUAGUGAUCCGGUGGUUCUGAAUGGAAGGGCCAUCGCUCAACGGAUAAAAGGUACUCCGGGGAUAACAGGCUGAUACCGCCCAAGAGUUCAUAUCGACGGCGGUGUUUGGCACCUCGAUGUCGGCUCAUCACAUCCUGGGGCUGAAGUAGGUCCCAAGGGUAUGGCUGUUCGCCAUUUAAAGUGGUACGCGAGCUGGGUUUAGAACGUCGUGAGACAGUUCGGUCCCUAUCUGCCGUGGGCGCUGGAGAACUGAGGGGGGCUGCUCCUAGUACGAGAGGACCGGAGUGGACGCAUCACUGGUGUUCGGGUUGUCAUGCCAAUGGCACUGCCCGGUAGCUAAAUGCGGAAGAGAUAAGUGCUGAAAGCAUCUAAGCACGAAACUUGCCCCGA